rnacentral:rRNA from 1 species
AGAGUGGGGACCUUCGGGCCUCACGCGAUGAGAUGAGCCGAUGCCGGAUUAGCUAGUUGGCGGGGUAAAGGCCCACCAAGGCGACGAUCCGUAGCUGGUCUGAGAGGAUGAUCAGCCACACUGGAACUGAGACACGGUCCAGACUCCUACGGGAGGCAGCAGUGGGGAAUAUUGGACAAUGGGGGCAACCCUGAUCCAGCCAUGCCGCGUGUGUGAAGAAGGCCUUCGGGUUGUAAAGCACUUUUGUUGGGGAAGAAACCGGCCGGGUUAAUACCCUGGUUGAAUGACGGUACCCAAAGAAUAAGCACCGGCUAACUUCGUG